rnacentral:rRNA from 1 species
UGGGGAAUUUUGGACAAUGGGCGAAAGCCUGAUCCAGCAAUGCCGCGUGUGUGAAGAAGGCCUUCGGGUUGUAAAGCACUUUUGUCCGGAAAGAAAUCCUUGGCUCUAAUACAGUCGGGGGAUGACGGUACCGGAAGAAUAAGCACCGGCUAACUACGUGCCAGCAGCCGCGGUAAUACGUAGGGUGCAAGCGUUAAUCGGAAUUACUGGGCGUAAAGCGUGCGCAGGCGGUUUGCUAAGACCGAUGUGAAAUCCCCGGGCUCAACCUGGGAACUGCAUUGGUGACUGGCAGGCUAGAGUAUGGCAGAGGGGGGUAGAAUUCCACGUGUAGCAGUGAAAUGCGUAGAGAUGUGGAGGAAUACCGAUGGCGAAGGCAGCCCCCUGGGCCAAUACUGACGCUCAUGCACGAAAGCGUGGGGAGCAAACAGGAUUAGAUACCCUGGUAGUCCACGCCCUAAACGAUGUCAGCUAGUUGUUGGGGAUUCAUUUCCUUAGUAACGUAGCUAACGCGUGAAGUUGACCGCCUGGGGAGUACGGUCGCAAGAUUAAAACUUAAAUGAAUUGACGGGGUCAUAGCUGUUUCCU